rnacentral:rRNA from 1 species
AUUGAACGCUGGCGGCAGGCUUAACACAUGCAAGUCGAGCGAGCGGCGGACGGGGGAGUAUUGUAUGGGGAUCUGCGCGAGAUAGGGGGGUAACUACUGGAAACGGGAUCUAAUAUAGCAUACUAUCUCAUGAGCCCAUAUGGGAUUUGCUAGUAGGUGGGGGAAUGGCUCACCUAGGCGACGAUCCCUAGCUGGUCUGAGAGGAUGAUCAGCCACACUGGGACUGAGACACGGCCCAGACUCCUACGGGAGGCAGCAGUGGGGAAUAUUGCACAAUGGGCGCAAGCCUGAUGCAGCCAUGCCGCGUGUGUGAAGAAGGCCCUAGGGUUGUAAAGCACUUUCAGUCAGGAGGCGUUACCGGCAGAAGAAGCACCGGCUAACUCCGUGCCAGCAGCCGCGGUAAUUC